rnacentral:rRNA from 1 species
GAUUGACCUCGGAUCAGGUAGGGAUACCCGCUGAACUUAAGCAUAUCAAUAAGCGGAGGAAAAGAAACCAACAGGGAUUGCCUCAGUAACGGCGAGUGAAGCGGCAACAGCUCAAAUUUGAAAUCUGGCCUCCAUGGGAGGUCCGAGUUGUAAUUUGUAGAGGAUGCUUCGGGUGCGGUGCCGGCUUAAGUUCCUUGGAACAGGGCGUCAUAGAGGGUGAGAACCCCGUAUGCGGCCGGCCCUCCAACCCCAGAAGGGGCUCCUUCGACGAGUCGAGUUGUUUGGGAAUGCAGCUCAAAACGGGUGGUAAAUUUCAUCUAAAGCUAAAUACCUGCCAGAGACCGAUAGCGCACAAGUAGAGUGAUCGAAAGGUGAAAAGCACUUUGGAAAGAGAGUCAAACAGUACGUGAAAUUGUUGAAAGGGAAGCGCUUGCGACCAACACUGCCCGUCGACGCUCAGCGGGGGUUCUCCCCCCGUGUAUUCGUCGCCGAGCAGGCCAGCAUCGGUUCCAGCGGCCGGAAAAAGGUCUUGGGAAUGUGGCUCCUCUCGGGGAGUGUUAUAGCCCUGGACGACAUACGGCCAGCAGGGACCGAGGACCGCGC